CCUUAAGACACCUAAGAUGAUAACCUGGUCCAAGUGAAGUCAAUAGCAAGUCUCCCACUGACUUCAGAAAGGCCAUCAUAUUUCACUCCUAGUCACUGGGAGAUGCAGACUUCAAAUGGCAUAUAGGAUGAAGCUCAAAGACAGCAGUGAAUGAAAAAAGGACAAAGAGGGGAGAAGAAGAGGAGGAAAAAAAUCAGGAAGAAAUUAGAGGAAAAAAGAAACUGAUGCCAAGAGACAUGACUCAUAAAACAAUGUGAAAAUCUAUGUAAUUGACACAGGUGGAAUCACUGAUCCUUAUAAAACGGAAUAUGCCAAAAUUAUGGAGUGGAAUUAUGGGUUGGAAAGAUGCAGUAAUAAUGGGCCAGAUCUGCUGAUGUGAAUUGGCAUAAAUUGAAUAG